UCUUAAACAUGCAAGUCGAACGGCAAGAGAAAAGCUUGCUUUUCUCCAAGAGUGGCGGACUGGUGAGUAACACGUGGGUGACAUACCUUUUAGUUGGGGAUAGCUAUUAGAAAUAGUAGGUAAUACCGAAUACGAUCAUGCAGGUUAGAGCUGUAUGAGGAAAGGAGCUAAGGCUUCGCUGGAAGAAUGGCUCGCGGCCCAUUAGCUAGUUGGUGAGGUAACGGCCCACCAAGGCAAUGAUGGGUAUCCGGCCUGAGAGGGUGAACGGACACAUUGGGACUGAGAUACGGCCCAGACUUCUACGGGAGGCAGCAGUUAAGAAUAUUCCGCAAUGGACGCAAGUCUGACGGAGCGACGCCGCGUGGAUGAAGAAUGCCGAAAGGUUGUAAAAUCCUUUUAAGCCUGAUGAAUAAGCAGAGGAGGGAAUGCCUUUGCGGUGACA
rnacentral:rRNA from 1 species